rnacentral:rRNA from 1 species
AUGGCGAUGGGCAAGCGGUCCUGGCAUAGUGGGAGCUCUGGUGGGAAGGACAUCAAUAGACUGCAGACCCGUCCACCGUGGUGCCACCGGUGGGGCAGAGGCAUACACUUCGAGGCUAAUGUACUAGAGCCUCCUCCAUGGCUACAUAGAGCUCCUCAAAUGGGUGAUCUGAUCUUGCACUAUCAGCGGUCGCAUUCUGACCAAAAUCUUGUGCCACAUGAAGGUAGACAGGUAGUUUUAGAGCAAGACAAAAGAUCAUUAGAAAUGCACCAUAUUACUUUUGCACAUGUCGGCUGCUCCGUCUGA